rnacentral:tRNA from 1 species
GCCUUCUUAGCUCAGUGGUAGAGCGCGCCACUCGUAAUGCAAUGUAAUGGUGAGGUCGGUUGUUCAAUCCAGCCAGGAGGCA